GGAAUUUUGGACAAUGGGCGCAAGCCUGAUCCAGCAAUGCCGCGUGAGUGAAGAAGGCCUUCGGGUUGUAAAGCUCUUUUGUCAGGGAAGAAACGGUGGGAGCUAAUAUCUCCUGCUAAUGACGGUACCUGAAGAAUAAGCACCGGCUAACUACGUGCCAGCAGCCGCGGUAAUACGUAGGGUGCAAGCGUUAAUCGGAAUUACUGGGCGUAAAGCGUGCGCAGGCGGUUUUGUAAGUCUGAUGUGAAAUCCCCGGGCUCAACCUGGGAAUUGCAUUGGAGACUGCAAGGCUAGAAUCUGGCAGAGGGGGGUAGAAUUCCACGUGUAGCAGUGAAAUGCGUAGAUAUGUGGAGGAACACCGAUGGCGAAGGCAGCCCCCUGGGUCAAGAUUGACGCUCAUGCACGAAAGCGUGGGGAGCAAACAGGAUUAGAUACCCUGG
rnacentral:rRNA from 1 species